GCCCACGUGGUGGAAUUGGUAGACACACCAUCUUGAGGGGGUGGCGGCGAAAGCCGUGGGAGUUCGAGUCUCCCCGUGGGCACCA
rnacentral:tRNA from 1 species